CCUGGGCAUAUUUAUAUAUCUAAUCGAGCAUCUCAUCAUAGCUAUUCGAGAAGUUCUUAUUCAAAAAAAAAAAUCAGGUGGUUGCUCCGAAGUCUCCUUGUCAAAGCAGACAUGACAACUGAUUCAUUAAAAUUUUUUACCUCUAAGAUGGCCACAUUGAAAUGAGCCAUAUACUUCUGGAGAUCUUCUCCUUCCUACUACUAAACAGAGAAGAGACUAUCUACAUGC
rnacentral:lncRNA from 1 species